GUGCGCAGUCAAUUAUUCUCCAAAAUACCGAAUGUGAAAGCGCACUUUCAAAAUUAGCUAAUGCACGAGUCAAGACACAUUUAGCUAUUAUGACAAAUCAAACAAUAUAGUUGGGUAAAUCUAACUAGAUAGACAAUCGAUCUGGUGAUGUAGUUCAGAGCUAAACAAACUUUGGGCUCCUUGAGAUUUUCGUCCUUACAAAUGCAGCUAAUGAAAGGGCGAGGCAAGCCGCGAGUCCUCAGCGGUCAUCCCUGUCCGUGCAAACCGGAUGGAUGGAACCUGUGACGCAUAGAGUCAAUAUGUUUAGAAAAUCUGUGAACUCGGAACCAAGCUGCAUUAUGCCAGUCUACCAGAAGGAGGCAGAAGCAAGCACGAGAACUGGAAGACUUACAGACAGAUCACACAGACAGAGCUAUUGCAUUCUGGUACACCAGAAGUACAUUCAUUUCCACACGCCUUGAUCACACCGACAGUUUUGGCAUUCUGGUACACCAGAAGCACAUUCAUUUCCAAUGGAACGCUGCGUUUGCUUUGCAGCAUUGCGUUGCAGAGGCAGUUGCAGUGCAUUAUGUGUGAGGCAUACGUUAUGCAUCAAACUGUAUGUGUAGAAGGAUUGCCAGAAAUGGUAGCAAAGGGUGAAUGUUGAACUUUUAUUGCACACAUAUCCAGAUGAUACUGCGUACCAUUUUGAGUAUGUCUCUCUCGGUGUGAUCGAGGCAUUAGGUCGUGUACCCCUGCUCAGACAUAGCAUGCAUCAACCAAUUGUUGUGUUGCACGUCAUUGACUGAGUCAUCAAGUGACAGUUUGAUAUAACAUAUGAUGUGGUUAGUUGAUAUGUAAAAUACCCA